ACCCCAAACCCUUACAUGGUUGGUUAUGGUGGUGUCCGCUGAUUGGGUCCACCUGACCUCGGCCCCGGUGGAAGUUAUCGGGUGGCAGCAGAGUUGGAAUGGGAUAGGUAGUUCCCCGUUUCCAGGACCCCAGACGGCCUGCUGGGACAGUGUAUAUGAGUCCGGAAUGGGCUGGACCAGGGUCAGGCUAGCCCAGACUUCAGGUACGGGCUGUGAUGACGAGGAGUGGGCUAGUCUCCCGGGUCGGUCACCGCUGAACUCUCAGGAGGAAGCACUCAAUUGAACAAGUGCAGGAACCAGCUGGCUGCCUCAGCACUGACAGAAGCAAAUUCCAUUUGCUUGGACCCACUGCAUUCCAUCCCUUGUGGAAGAGAGCAUGUAAGCAAGUGAGUGCAGGAACUGGCUGGCUGCUUUGGUGCUGGCAGGAGCAAACACCAUGAAGGCCCCAUGGCAGAGUCCAGGACAGGACCUUCAGGCCUCUGAAAAAAAAAGGAUCAAAGAACUGAAACUCACCAGAUCACCUCACCAGAUGCUGGACCCCUCAUUCACCAUGUUUGCUUCCUUGCCUCUCCCUAGUUCUUAUUUUCUUACACAUUGUUACAUUUCUUCCCUGCUAUAUCAACCCCUAGUUCUAGUCAGUCAUGGAGAUGGAUUUGAGACUGAUCUCCCAUCCCCUCAGCUACACCACCUGAUUAAAGCCUUCUUCCUUGGCAAUAAUCAUUGUCUCAGUCAUUGGCUUUCUGUGCAGGGAGCAGCAGGACCUAGACUAAACCCCUGGUGUUUUGGUAACAAAAUAAGGCCAGGCACAGAAAGACAAACAUCACAUGUUCACACUUAUUUGUGGGAUCUAAAUACCAGAACAAUUGAACUCAUAGAGAUAGAGAGUAGAAGGAUUAUUACCAGAGGCUGGGAAGUGUGGUUGAAGGAGUUGGUGGGCAGUGGGGAUGUAGAAUGUGUCCAAAAAAAGGAAUAGAAUGAAGAAGUCCUAGUAUUUGAUAGCACAACAGGGUGACUAUAGUCAAUAAUCAUUUAACUGUACAUUUUAAAAUAACUUAAAAGGUGUAAUUGGGUUGUUUGUAACACAAAUGAUAAAUGCUUGAAGGAAUUGCUACUCCAUUUUCCAUGAUGUGAUUAUUGUGCAUUGCAUGCCUGUAUCAAAAUGCCUCAUGUACCUCAUAAAUAUAUAUACCUACUAUGUACCCACAAAAAUUUUUUAAGAAAAUAUACCACUGCUUUUCCAUUUGUCAAGUGAAAAA
ensembl:lncRNA novel transcript